UCCGGAAUCAUUGGGUUUAAAGGGUCCGUAGGCGGUCUGAUAAGUCAGAGGUGAAAUCCUGCAGCUCAACUGUAGCAUUGCCUUUGAUACUGUUAGACUUGAGUUAUUGUGAAGUAGUUAGAAUGUGUGGUGUAGCGGUGAAAUGCAUAGAUAUCACACAGAAUACCGAUUGCGAAGGCAGAUUACUAACAAUAUACUGACGCUGAGGGACGAAAGCGUGGGUAGCGAACAGGAUUAGAUACCCUGGUAGUCCACGCCGUAAACGAUGGUUACUAGCUGUUUGGACCUUGUGUCUGAGUGGCUAAGCGAAAGUGAUAAGUAACCCACCUGGGGAGUACGUUCGCAAGAAUGAAACUCAAAGGAAUUGACGGGGGCCCGCACAAGCGGUGGAGCAUGUGGUUUAAUUCGAUGAUACGCGAGGAACCUUACCAGGGCUUAAAUGUAAGUUGCAUUAGUUAGAGAUAGCUAUUUCUUCGGACCACUUACAAGGUGCUGCAUGGUU
rnacentral:rRNA from 1 species